rnacentral:rRNA from 1 species
UGGGGAAUAUUGCACAAUGGGGGAAACCCUGAUGCAGCAACGCCGCGUGAGUGAUGACGGCCUUCGGGUUGUAAAGCUCUGUCUUCAGGGACGAUAAUGACGGUACCUGAGGAGGAAGCCACGGCUAACUACGUGCCAGCAGCCGCGGUAAUACGUAGGUGGCAAGCGUUGUCCGGAUUUACUGGGCGUAAAGGGAGCGUAGGUGGAUAUUUAAGUGGGAUGUGAAAUCCCCGGGCUUAACCUGGGGGCUGCAUUCCAAACUGGAUGUCUAGAGUGCAGGAGAGGAGAGUGGAAUUCCUAGUGUAGCGGUGAAAUGCGUAGAGAUUAGGAAGAACACCAGUGGCGAAGGCGACUCUCUGAACUGUAACUGACACUGAGGCUCGAAAGCGUGGGGAGCAAACA